GGGAACUCGAGAGAAACGAGAGGAGAUACAUCAAUGGGGGCAUUGACGGCAUCACUGAUAGCCAUAGUAGGUUUGGCAUUAAGCUGGAUCACCAUCGAAAUCGCCUGCAAACCUUGCCUCGAUCAAGGCCGUGAAGCCAUUGAUCGUACUCUCAAUCCUGAUUAUGAUCCCGACGACGACGAUCCUCGCCUACCUCUAAAUCCAAACCCUACUCCUUCAGAUCAAACCGAUUCCAGUUCCACAAUCGUCAAGACUGUCUGAUUGGCUUCAUUUCGAUGGUGAUUUCAAUAGAUCGAUCGCGUACGUGUUUCGUGUAUCUCUUUGUUUAUUUCUUAUAAUCAUCAUUAUCAUGUUGUCAUCUCUUUCUGACAUUGAAUUCGUGU
rnacentral:lncRNA from 1 species